UUUUCUUUCAGUUUGUAUUUAAAAAUUCUGAUCUAACGUCUUUAAACCUCCCUCAGACACCGUAUUAGGCGGUGUUGUUGUGAUUUUUACACGGCUCCUCUACGCGGGGUGCGUCACUGCCUUCACCGUACCGGGGCUGUGUCGUCGGGUAAAAGAGUACCGUACCACACCUGACGGACAGUGCUGCCCGAUGUGCCCAGAAGGUAAAGCUGUUUAAAGAGACACCAGAGUCGGUGCAGCCCCUGUGAAAGGGGACUUUCACCAACUAACCAGUGGCCUGAAAAAAUGCUUCCUCCGAACUUCAUGUGACUCAGAUGCUCUCAAACGAAAGUGAAGUUCAACGAAUGAAGCCUGAACAACAACACUGUCUGUGGCAGUUUCUACCUCUUUUUUUUUUAUGCUUUUCUCACUAACAUUUGCUGGGAUGCCGACAAAAGCCUCACCUGUUGUCAAGCUGGAAACCUCUCAGGAGACCAAACAUAAUAACCGAAACCCAACAUGGACGGUUAAACACAGGAACUGCAGCUGUAGCAAGUAAAAUCAUACAGAUAAACACUGAUUAAUAAACCAGUAAAGAGCC
ensembl:lncRNA